rnacentral:lncRNA from 1 species
GUUCAUAUCAAUAGUGUGGAGUAAAGGUGGUCUAGGUUCAUAUCAAUAGCGUGGAUUAAAGGUGGUCUAGGUUCAUAUCAAUAGCGUGGAGUAAAGGUGGUCUAGGUUCAUAUCAAUAGCGUGGAGUAAAGGUGGUCUAGGUUCAUAUCAAUAGCGUGGAUUAAAGGUGGUCUAGGUUCAUAUCAAUAGCGUGGAGUAAAGGUGGUCUAGGUUCAUAUCAAUAGUUGUAUAGGAGUAAAAGUCGCCUUGUUUAAUUUGGAAAGACUUUGAGGUGCUUUCGGUGGCUUAAUCCUUCCUACAGCAGGGAAGGAUUAAGUAAUAGCCUAAUGCAUUGUCGGUAAGUACAAUGAGGAAGUAGACUAAAUAUUUUGGCAUUAAUGCUGAAGAAAAACAAAACUACUUUGAUAAGGAAAUGCACUUUAACCCCCAGAGUGUCAACACAACUUCUGGAGGUCUUGGACAAUCCAUCAGAAUUAGGUUACUGUGUAAUGCUGGAGAUCUGCUAACUUCAUCCAGAUUGGUUGAGACUAAAAAUAGCCUAGACAUGAGGUUCACAGAGAUGUUCUAUCAGUGAUCCAUUGUGAUCAUAGCAUAAUAUGUAGGCUAUAAUGCAGCUAACUUGGGUCGGAAGUAUCCUUCUUCAAGGUGGAAGCUAUUUGCAUUGUACAGGAAUGACUGAUCUGUAAAAGAUCAAGACUACAGCAUGAAGUCUUGCAAGAACACAACUUCCCAGCAAAUACCAAAAUGUGCCCUGCUCUGAAGCCAUCUAGCCUACAUAUUUUCAGUCCAAACAUCCCAGCUAGCUCCUCCUUCAGAACCUGUUUCCCUUGACAUGUGAGACUGAGACUAGCGCCACCAUUUUGAUUGCCUCCUAGCCCACAGCCCACAGUUGUCACAGAGUGUAUAGUUCAGUCUCCUUGUCAGCAAGAUUUCACCGUGGCCACAGUGAGUGAGUCUGCAGGAGAGUAAGGCACACAUUGCCUUCUCUUGACUGAGUGAAUGACAUACGGUACACACCAGUUAAACUGAGGUUGAGAACUACAUGUACUGUACAUGCUGAGAACAUAAGUACAUAAAUAACAAAUCGAUUAACAAACAACUAUUCAAACUCUAAAUCUCAAAACAAUGUGUAAUAAAACAUGUAAAUUGUUCAUUUUACUUUUUGGAUAGCUCUGUCUAUCUAAUUUACUGUAGCCUAAAUUGACGAAUAGCCAUAUGGCAUAGCCUGCAUGGUGAAACGGUUGAAGUGUAGCAAACUGCUUUUGAAAGUUGUCUACUUUACUCUCAAGAACUUUGUAAGACUGCACUCCUCUGUGUGUGUGUGUGUGUGUGUGUGUGUGUGUGUGUGUGUGUGUGUGUGUGUGUGUGUGUGU